GACGAACGCUGGCGGCGUGCUUAACACAUGCAAGUCGAACGGUAAGGCCCUUUCGGGGGUACACGAGUGGCGAACGGGUGAGUAACACGUGGGUGAUCUGCCCUGCACUUCGGGAUAAGCCUGGGAAACUGGGUCUAAUACCGGAUAGGACUACGCGAUGCAUGUCGUGUGGUGGAAAGCUUUUGCGGUGUGGGAUGGGCCCGCGGCCUAUCAGCUUGUUGGUGGGGUGAUGGCCUACCAAGGCGACGACGGGUAGCCGGCCUGAGAGGGUGUCCGGCCACACUGGGACUGAGAUACGGCCCAGACUCCUACGGGAGGCAGCAGUGGGGAAUAUUGCACAAUGGGCGCAAGCCUGAUGCAGCGACGCCGCGUGAGGGAUGACGGCCUUCGGGUUGUAAACCUCUUUCAACGCCGACGAAGCGGAAGUGACGGUAGGCGUAGAAGAAGCACCGGCCAACUACGUGCCAGCAGCCGCAGUAA
rnacentral:rRNA from 1 species